GAGAAUAUAUAAAAAACUGGAGGCCAAGAUACUUCCUUUUGAAGACAGAUGGCUCAUUCAUAGGAUAUAAAGAGAAACCUCAAGAUGUGGAUUUACCUUAUCCCCUCAACAACUUUUCAGUGGCAAGUAGUGUUAUGUUCAGAUAUUUGCAGAAUUUAACCUUAAACCAAGUUUAGAAUUGGGAAUGGAGAAAACCGUUGUAAAAAUUAUUUUAAAAUGAGAUCAUUUUAAAGAAAACUAUAAUGUAACAAUGUCACAUAUUUCCUUCUUCAGGCUCCAAUUCAAAUCAUACUCCAAUUUGAAAAGAACAAAAAUUCCACAAAAUGUUCAUUCUUUCCUACUUUUUCCUUACGUUAUACAACAAAUGUGGAAAGAAAAAAAAAACAGAAAAAGUGUAUCCCAUCUUAAUGAAAAUGACUGCGGCAGUCAAGAGUUUCAAAUCCAGCUGCUGGGGGUGAAAGCAACCCUCUGCAUCUCUGAAAGAUUUCAUCAGUGUUAUCUCCUUUAUAAUCAUAACUUUUCAUGUGUAUCAUCUGAGUUUCUUAUUAAAUAAUCUCACUAU
rnacentral:sRNA from 1 species